CCUACGGGUGGCAGCAGUGAGGAAUAUUGGUCAAUGGACGAGAGUCUGAACCAGCCAAGUAGCGUGCAGGAUGACUGCCCUAUGGGUUGUAAACUUCUUUUAUAUGGGAAUAAACUGUUCCACGUGUGGGAUUUUGUAUGUACCAUAUGAAUAAGGAUCGGCUAACUCCGUGCCAGCAGCCGCGGUAAUACGGAGGAUCCGAGCGUUAUCCGGAUUUAUUGGGUUUAAAGGGAGCGUAGGUGGAUUGUUAAGUCAGUUGUGAAAGUUUGCGGCUCAACCGUAAAAUUGCAGUUGAAACUGGCAGUCUUGAGUACAGUAGAGGUGGGCGGAAUUCGUGGUGUAGCGGUGAAAUGCUUAGAGAUCACGCAGAACUCCGAUUGCGAAGGCAGUUCACUGGACUGCAACUGACACUGAGGCUCGAAAGUGUGGGUAUCAAACAGGAUUAGAUACCCGAGUAGUC
rnacentral:rRNA from 1 species